GACGAACGCUGGCGGCGUGCCUAAUACAUGCAAGUAGAACGCUGAAGAGAGGAGCUUGCUCUUCUUGGCUGAGUUGCGAACGGGUGAGUAACGCGUAGGUAACCUGCCUUGUAGCGGGGGAUAACUAUUGGAAACGAUAGCUAAUACUGCAUAACAAUGGAUGACACAUGUCAUUUAUUUGAAAGGGGCAAUUGCUCCACUACAAGAUGGACCUGCGUUGUAUUAGCUAGUAGGUGAGGUAAUGGCUCACCUAGGCGACGAUACAUAGCCGACCUGAGAGGGUGGUCGGCCGCACUGGGACUGAGACACGGCCCAGACUCCUACGGGAGGCAGCAGUAGGGAAUCUUCGGCAAUGGGGGCAACCCUGACCGAGCAACGCCGCGUGAGUGAAGAAGGUUUUCGGAUCGUAAAGCUCGGUUGUAAGUCAAGAACGGGUGUGAGAGUGGAAAGUUCACACUGUGACGGUAGCUUACCAGAAAGGGACGGCUAACUACGUG
rnacentral:rRNA from 1 species